CUUCAUUCGUUCUGUCGCCAACCAAGACUUGGCAGCUUUUUUUCUAUCAAGCAAAUACCAUUUCAGGUUGCAUAAAGAAGCUUAAAUUAAUCUUGCCGAAACGAAACUUCAUAUUAACAUACUUCGUGACAUGAAUAAUUAUGCCGAUGACAGUAUAUAUGGAAUUAAUUAUAUAACAUAAACAAAUCGAUUAUUACUUUUUUCUUUGAUUAUUAAUGUUAAUACAGAGUAGUUAUCAGUGUGAAAAAAAAUUUAUUUUACUCAAUCUCAUUAUGUUUUAUUUGUAAUUUUGUAAUAUAAAAGAAGAAUUGCAGAUAGGAUGGCGGGAUAUGUGAAAAGCUCGCUAAUUCAAAGUAUGAAAAAAUUUAAUUUAUUCGAUUUUAAGAAUGGAUUAAACAUCAUCCGAAGACCGAUGCUCCGAAUGGUGAGCAGUUACCUGAGAUCACGCAGUCAUUCCUGUGGGGAACUUGGCUUGGAUGAUGUUGGCAAAGUUGUGGUUCUCUGUGGUUGGCUCCAGUACAAAAGAUUGGAUCAGUUCCUGUUGCUACGGGAUUGGCAAGGAAUAACACAAGUUCUCAUCCCAGCAGAAAAGCAAGACAUGCUUCAUCCUCUCGUCUCAAAUUUACCCUUGGAAUCAGUGAUUCAAGUGCAGGGCACCGUCAUGAAACGGCCAGAAGAUCAACAAAAUGAUAAAAUGCAGACUGGAAGUAUCGAAGUAAAGCUCUCUGAUUUCCAGGUGUUAAACUCUUGCCGCACUAAAUUACCAUUCCAAAUGAAGAAAUUCCAUGAGGUGAAAGAAUCACUUCGUAUGGAAUACAGGUAUAUAGACAUACGCACUGAAAGAAUGCAACACAAUCUCCGACUGCGAUCGGCAACGACAAUGAAAAUUCGGGAAUUUCUCUGCAAUAAACAUGAUUUUGUUGAUGUUGAGACACCAGUUUUAUUUCGAAGGACACCAGGGGGUGCCAAAGAAUUCAUUGUUCCCACCCAUACCCCAGGGAAGUUUUACAGUCUUCCACAGUCACCACAACAGUUCAAGCAGUUGCUGAUGGCUGGUGGCCUUGACAGGUAUUUUCAAAUUGCAAAAUGUUUCAGAGAUGAAGGUGCUAAACCAGAUCGUCAACCAGAAUUCACUCAGGUUGAUUUAGAAAUGUCUUUUGUCGACAUGGAUGGUAUUCUUUCUCUCACAGAAGACAUGUUGGCAGCUUCCUCGCCUGAUUCCAAACAACAGAAACUCUGCACACCGUUUCCUCGUAUGUCCCACCACCAAGCCUUGAAAUGUUUUGGUUCAGACAAACCUGACACACGAUUCGGUAUGGAACUGAAUGAUAUUUCUCAUAUCCUACAAGACAGUGGCAUUGAUUUUUUAAACACUGUCUUAUCAACUCCACUGGGUUCUGUCCAGACGAUUGUCCUAAAGCAAGGAAUGAAAUAUUUGACUAGCAGAGAUCUUCGGAAAGUGAAAGAUUUGGGAAAUGAAAACACAACAUUAGCAGGAUUAACCAUCAUUGUCAUCAAAGACAACAAUCAAUGGCAAUCACCAAUUUCUAACGUUUUACAACAGAACCUAAAAGAAGAACUAACAAACUACCUUGGACUGGAACCUGGAGAUGUUGUCCUCUUAGCUGCUGGAAUCCAUGAACAUCCAUAUUCUUUACUUGGUAAAUUACGCCUAGAAUGUGCUAACAUGAUGGAGUCCAAUGGUAUGAAACUGCGGGACACUGAAGCAUUCAAUUUUCUUUGGAUUGUAGAUUUCCCACUUUUCCUACCAAAAGAAGAUGGUGACGGCUUGGAAUCGGCCCAUCACCCAUUCACUGCCCCGAUGCCAGAAGAUGUUGAACUCUUAUAUACAGAUCCACUUAAGGUGAAGGGUCAGCAUUAUGAUCUGGUGUUAAAUGGACAUGAGAUUGGAGGAGGUUCAAUUCGUAUUCACACAGCUAAAGAACAACUUUAUAUAUUGGAGCAGAUACUUAAGGAAGACAGCAGUCAACUGCAACACCUUUUACAUGCUUUGGACAGUGGCUGCCCACCUCACGGAGGAAUUGCUCUGGGUCUUGAUCGUCUCUUAGCCAUUUUGUGUGGUGAGCCAAGCAUUCGUGAUGUCAUCGCAUUCCCCAAGUCACAUGAUGGUAAAGAUCCUAUGAGUAAAGCUCCUGCAACAGUUUCUGCUGAAGAUCAGAAUUACUACCACAUAUCCUCCAAAUUUGCAGAUUAGCAUCAGAGAAAUUCUCUCCAAAAUACACUGUCACUGAUCAAAGCAUGUUGACUUGAAGCAACUAAUGCCACACAUCUUGUGUGUGUGUAUGUGUUUGUCCCCUACCAACACUUGACAAUCUCACAAUGGUUGCAGUCUAGUGGCUGAAACAAGUAAAAAAUUAAAAAAAUAAAGAUUAUAUAUACAUA
rnacentral:misc_RNA from 1 species